rnacentral:rRNA from 1 species
UACGGAAUGUGCAAACGUUAUUCGGAAUCACUGGGCUUAAAGAGUCCGUAGGCGGCAUGUUAGGUGAGGUGUGAAAUCCCCCGGCUCAACCGAGGAAUUGCGCUUCAAACCGGCGUGCUAGAGGAAGAUAGAGGUGGGCGGAACUGAUGGUGGAGCGGUGAAAUGCGUUGAUAUUGGGAGGAACACCAGUGGCGAAGGCGGCUCGCUGGACCGGUUCUGACGCUGAGGCGCGAAAGCGUGGGGAGCAAACAGG